CUAAUACUCCCUCCGUCCCAAAAUUCUUGUCUUAAAUUUGUCUAAAUACGGAUGUAUCAAGUCACGUUUUAGUAUUAGAUACAUCCGUAUCUAGACAAAUCUAAGACAAUAAUUUUGGGACGGAGGGAGUAUGUC
rnacentral:pre_miRNA from 1 species